rnacentral:rRNA from 1 species
GACGAACCGUCCAAACGUUAUUCGGAAUUACUGGGCUUAAAGGGUGCGUAGGCGGCGCGGAAAGUUGGGUGUGAAAUCCCUCGGCUCAACCGAGGAACUGCGCCCAAUACUACCGUGCUUGAGGGAGAUAGAGGUGAGCGGAACUUAGGGUGGAGCGGUGAAAUGCGUUGAUAUCCUAAGGAACACCGGUGGCGAAAGCGGCUCACUGGAUCUCUUCUGACGCUGAGGCACGAAAGUUAGGGUAGCGAACGGG